rnacentral:rRNA from 1 species
AUUGAACGCUGGCGGCAGGCCUAACACAUGCAAGUCGAACGGUAACAGGAAACAGCUUGCUGUUUCGCUGACGAGUGGCGGACGGGUGAGUAAUGUCUGGGAAACUGCCUGAUGGAGGGGGAUAACUACUGGAAACGGUAGCUAAUACCGCAUAACGUCGCAAGACCAAAGAGGGGGACCUUCGGGCCUCUUGCCAUCGGAUGUGCCCAGAUGGGAUUAGCUAGUAGGUGGGGUAACGGCUCACCUAGGCGACGAUCCCUAGCUGGUCUGAGAGGAUGACCAGCCACACUGGAACUGAGACACGGUUCAGACUCCUACGGGAGGCAGCAGUGGGGAAUAUUGCACAAUGGGCGCAAGCCUGAUGCAGCCAUGCCGCGUGUAUGAAGAAGGCCUUCGGGUUGUAAAGUACUUUCAGCGGGGAUGGAGGGAGUAAAGUUAAUACCUUUGCUCAUUGACGUUACCCGCAGAAGAAGCACCGGCUAACUCCGUG